rnacentral:rRNA from 1 species
UACGAAGGGGGCUAGCGUUGUUCGGAAUCACUGGGCGUAAAGCGCACGCAGGCGGAUCGUUAAGUCAGGGGUGAAAUGCCGAGGCUCAACCUCGGAACUGCCUUUGAUACUGGCGAUCUUAGAGUCCGGGAGAGGUGAGUGGAACUCCGAGUGUAGAGGUGAAAUUCGUAGAUAUUCGGAAGAACACCAGUGGCGAAGGCGGCUCACUGGCCCGGUACUGACGCUGAGGCACGAAAGCGUGGGGAGCAAACAGG